UUAGCUCAUCCUAUAUUCCUGUGAAGACUUUUGAUAGCAGUGAGAAGACGAACAUCUACUUUGAGGUGGAGGAGUUUGUUCCCUACAUAGCCAAGUGCUCCCAGCCGUUCACCAUCUACAACAAUCACCUCUAUGUCUACCCCAGGCACCUGAAGUACGACAGCCAAAAAUCCUUCGCAAAGGCUKGAAACAUAGCUGUCUGCAUCGAGUUCAAGGACUCUGACGAAGAGGAGGCUGUUUCGCUCAAGUGCAUCUAUGGUCGACCAGGAGGACCCCUGUUUACAGAGAAUGCCUCUGCUGCAGUAUUACAUCACCAGCAUAGCCCAGAGUUUUUAU